rnacentral:rRNA from 1 species
GAUGAACGCUAGCGGCAGGCUUAAUACAUACAAGUUGAGGGGCAGCAUGACUGUAGCAAUACAGUUGAUGGCGACCGGCAAACGGGUGCGGAACACGUACAGAACCUUCCUUCGAGCGGGGAAUAGCCCAGAGAAAUUUGGAUUAAUACCCCAUAGUAUAUCGGAGUGGCAUCACUUUGAUAUUAAAGAUUUAUCACUUGAAGAUGGCUGUGCGGCUGAUUAGGUAGUUGGCGGGGUAACGGCCAACCAAGCCUGCGAUCAGUAACUGGUGUGAGAGCACGACCAGUCACAUGGGCACUGAGACACGGGCCCGACUCCUACGGGAGGCAGCAGUAAGGAAUAUUGGUCAAUGGACGAAAGUCUGAACCAGCCAUGCCGCGUGGAGGAUGAAGGUCCUCUGGAUUGUAAACUUCUUUUAUAUGGGACGAAAAAAGGCUUUUCUAAGUCGUCUGACGGUACCAUAUGAAUAAGCACCGGCUAACUCCGUGCCAGCCGCCGCCGUAA